rnacentral:rRNA from 1 species
CUGCUGCCUCCCGUAGGAGUUUGGGCCGUGUCUCAGUCCCAAUGUGGCCGUCCACCCUCUCAGGCCGGCUACUGAUCGUCGCUUUGGUAGGCCGUUACCCUGCCAACUGGCUAAUCAGACGCGGGCCCAUCUUAUACCACCGGAGUUUUUCACCCUGGGCCAUGCGGCCCUGGGCGCUUAUGCGGUCUUAGCACCUAUUUCUAAGUGUUAUCCCCCUGUAUAAGGCAGGUUACCCACGCGUUACUCACCCGUCCGCCACUAAAGUAAAAAUU